CGAAAAUAUAAAUAAAAUUGCUGUAUGAACUUUAAUUCGGAUUACCGUACGUCCUCAUUUAUCCGGACAGACCAUUUUGGAGUAAAAAUUAUUGUCCGCAUUUCCAGUGAUUGGAUGUUGAUUAUUUUGAGUUGUGUUUGAUCGCAACAUUUCCCAAUGAGAACUUUGUUUACAUAAUCUUAUGUUCCCGGCUACAUAAAUGAUGCGACAAGGCAACUGACUCAAGCACAAAAUGAAAGAGAUGGCCAAAAUGUUCAGGAGGAGAAAAAAUAAUAAGCCGAAUACAACGAAGUUCCUCAAAUGUACUUUAAAGUUGUUUUAUAAAUACUGUGAUUCAUACAGGAGUGCCAACGCUAGAAGUGCUCUCUAUUGGCAAUCGUUCUGGAAACAUGAGCAGCAAAAGUCUAUUUUGCUUCAGCGUAGGUUUCCAUGGAAUUGGCACUGGUAGUAAAACAUUUUUUACUUAUUAUAACUAAAUAAAUUAUAUAUCGUAAGGAAUGGUAUAUAAAAUUGCAGGAUUUUCAAAACGUCCAUCAUAUGACGAUGUAGUUAGUUUUGAUAGCCGAUGAUG